GUUUACUCGUCUAGUAAUUAUUCUCCCUUUAUUUAAAGUCUAAUUUUCUAGUGUAUAUGUAGUUAUAUAAACUAAGAGUUUGUAUCGAUCGUAACAAGUUACGGUUUGAAUUAAACUAAACCGAGCUGAACUUAUACAGUAAUUGGAUCAUCACUAGUUACUCCAGUAAGUGGAACUCUGAUUAAGACAAUACGCGUAGAGCGAGAGAUGCAUAUACAUAUAUAUAUACCUAUGUCUAAUGUUCGGUUGGUUAAAUUAACUUACCUGGUUUGGUGUGGUACCCCAUGUGAAAAUCAAUGUUUAGACAAUAUAAGUACCGCAGCACCACUAGAAGAAUACGCACGUCCACAGUGGUCAACAAAAUAGCCGUCUAGAUAAGUCCACCUAAUUACACCAAUAAUGUCUGGCGGGUGUCAUCCCAUUCCAAGGUUAAGGGGUGGGAGGGCACUAAUAUGAAGUUCUGUAUACUAAACUGGCUUUCCACGUGCGACUUUCUACGUCUUAGGUGCUUUCGCUUUCGAGCUUUUUUAUUAUUAAAAACCAAAACUUUCCGAUCUGCUUUUGCUGUUCACAUCAUCAACCAAGUAUGGCCGAUACGAAACUGCGCUCACAAUUCCGUUAAGGUUCUCGAUGUCCACAUCAGCUGGUAGUUGAAUGAUAAAGAACUAAUGUCCGAAUUAACUGUUUCCUUUUUAUGUAGCAGCUGGCACGCGUUAAAAACAUCACGCAAACCCUUAAAAAAAGAAGAGUGAUUUCUUUAUUAUUAAAGAAAAGGUGAGAAAUAUCGAACCAUCCCAGCGUUAUCUAUGGCUACAAACAUUCUUAUCGAAUACAUAUAUGUGUACAGUACAAAAGGAUGCGGUACUAUAUAUAAAGUUGUGAGGGCGGCUCAGACUUACCUCCUGAACAUCUGUUUCGCCUUUUGUUAUCGAAUCGGAGUUCCCCUAAUGGUAAGGGGUCUACAUAAAAAAAAAAAAAAAAUACUACUACUAGAGUUCUUUUAAAAAGCAGGUGGACCCUGCCCUAGAUUCGGCGAGUUUUUCAAGCAGGUGGAUACGUGUUACCAGUCGAGGACCUUUACACCUUGGUUUUGUCAAUAGAACGGCUCGGCCCACAAUACCUACAGUUACUAACCGAGAUGCUAAACAAAUUUUCUCUUAAAACCGAGUUGAUUUUUGGCGUGGUUUAUGAUCCUGGUUGGAUUGUCGUGCCCCCAUUAAAAUAACGAUGAUAAUAAAAAAUAUGUCAUAAUUAAUGCAUCAGAGAGAGAGAGAGAACUUUUUGACGAAAAGGAAACUUCGAGGUCGAGUUUCUUAGCUACUUGUGUUUUAAGAAUACGCGUGCAAACUAUUGACCCUGUGACACAAGUCAUACCGAAAACAACGUCCAACUAUAAUCACUAAACAUCCGGCACAUCUAGAUUAUAAAAUAGGUCAAAACAUUUUGAAUAACCACAAUUAUUUCUAUGCUUUCGGAUAUUCGCGAAUAUAUUUUUUUUUUAUUUUAUUGUUACGUGCAGGUGGCCACCACCGGCCUUAAGAUGGUUGCUGACAUUAGCCCAAUAUAUCAUGAUUUUAUUUUUUUCUACGUGACGCGAGCAAACCGUGAUUGGUUAACUCAUCUUUAUUUUUCGCUUGAACGAAGAGAGAGAGAGAGAUUCUUUAAAUUAAUUAUUCAACUAGAACCCCAUUAAGUCGCAUUAAAUAAAAGAAUAUUAACCUCUUCGAUAUUAUUCAUUUCUGUAUACUUUCGCUUAGCUGUUAUAAUUACCCAUAAUGGAAAUUAAAUUAGAACGGAGCCCUUUGAUAGUUACAAUUGAUCAAGAUUGACAAAUAAAUAUAUGGCUAACUAUAUGACCCAUCGCCUUGACCAUGCCACAUAUAUACGUCCACACACACACACGUAUGUAUCACAGAAUGGAUAAUUAUAGUUUCAAUAAGAAUUCCCUGCAGCAAUUAUUAGGGCCACGUGCAUGUGCCACGUGCUUCCGUAGGGUUCCACUCUGGUCUCCCUUAACGGAAACAUGGACCUCUGAUCAGACUUGAAGUUAAAAAAGAAUGACUUCCGAUUAAAGUAAUCACGCGUCAAAUAAUCAUUUUCGUAAUUUAUGUACGUGUAAUACUCGUGUAUAUAUAUAUAUAUAUAAGCGUGGCUGAAUGUUUCACUCCACGAAAAAAAAGAGAAUUUAGCCUACUUCACGCGAGAGAAGUAACAAAAUUUUGCACCAAACAUCGUCUUAGUCGUUUUCCUGUUAUGAUGUUAGUAUAAAAAUAAUUUUUUUUUAUUAUCUUUGUUGCCAUUUCCUGUUAGAAAUGCGUUGGAAAUAUGAUAAACUAAAUAUAGAUUCGUUU
rnacentral:lncRNA from 1 species